UUUGGCUUUUCUCUUAGGCAUAUUCUCUCCACACCUAUCAUCUUCUUCACCCAAUUUCUCACUGCAACUUCAUCUUCCUUGUGAUUAAAGAUAGGGGUUUCCAUCAUCAUAAUGCCCUCUUUGACUCUACCUGAUCAAUUUCUUCAUUCAGUUGGCCAUAAACGAAAGGAACAACAAAAAAAGCAGCACUAGCAUGAACAUCUAAUGAGGUAGCUGAACUGGAAAUUUUGCGAUCAUUGAAUCAAACAUGAAAAACCUUCUUAUAGCCAGAAUCCCAACAAAACUUGUUCUGUCAAUGCAUUCUUCACCUCAAUUCUGGUCAUUGUAUCUGCUAGAAAACACUUGAAUUUGAUACCUUGUGAUGGAGGAAUUAGUUUAAAAAACUUCAUAUUUUUGUUUUUUAGAGAAGCAAACCCAAUAGAACGAACAUUUUUCUAUGGAGUUUUAAAACCAGCAUGAAUUUUUAUAGGUGGCACAUAAAAAACACAAUCACCAUAACUAAAUAAGCAAUCCAGAGUUGUAGACAGCACUGGUUAAACUAUUCUGCAGCAAGAUGGUGAUGUGACUAAGGCAUAACCAUUAAGAAAAUUCUAAAGGAUUUGUUAUGCUAUCCAGAGUAAGUGUCACUAAACUGAAACUCAAAUGUCAGAUCAACCCACUUGAGCGGCCUCGAGUCCUUUUUGCCCAGAUUCAAUCACAUCUGCAAUCGGAUUUGCAUACUUGUGAAACUGCAAAAAUCCAAACGCGAUAGUUCAAUAAUUUCUCAUUCACUAUAACACAGCAUGAACAGGAUUCAAGGUAAUCACAUCACAGAAAAUAAACAGUAAAAUAAAA
rnacentral:sRNA from 1 species